UUUUUCCGGGAAUUUGGGAUUUUCCCGCAGGAUGAGGUCGCUCACACGGUCACCGAGAGCCGCGUCCUCCAGAGCAGCCGGCACCCCUUCCUCACCGCGCUGAAAUACGCUUUCCAAACCCACGACCGCCUCUGCUUCGUCAUGGAAUACGCCAACGGCGGCGAGCUCUUUUUCCACCUCUCCCGGGAGCUCCUGUUCCAUUUUCCCCCCAUUUUUCCCC